rnacentral:rRNA from 1 species
CCUACGGGGGGCAGCAGUGGGGAAUAUUGGACAAUGGGCGAAAGCCUGAUCCAGCCAUGCCGCGUGUGUGAAGAAGGUCUUCGGAUUGUAAAGCACUUUAAGUUGGGAGGAAGGGCAGUAAGUUAAUACCUUGCUGUUUUGACGUUACCAACAGAAUAAGCACCGGCUAACUUCGUGCCAGCAGCCGCGGUAAUACGAAGGGUGCAAGCGUUAAUCGGAAUUACUGGGCGUAAAGCGCGCGUAGGUGGUUCAGCAAGUUGGAUGUGAAAUCCCCGGGCUCAACCUGGGAACUGCAUCCAAAACUACUGAGCUAGAGUACGGUAGAGGGUGGUGGAAUUUCCUGUGUAGCGGUGAAAUGCGUAGAUAUAGGAAGGAACACCAGUGGCGAAGGCGACCACCUGGACUGAUACUGAC